CGUGGCGUACGGCUCAGUAACACGUAGUCAACCUGCCCUGGAGACAUGGAAAACCCCGGGAAACUGGGAUUAAUCCGUGAUAGGUCAUCUCAUCUGGAAGGAGAGAUGGCUUAAAGGGGUGCGCGGGCUUCUUCUGCGUAUUCGCUCCAGGAUGGGACUGCGUCCGAUCAGGCUGUUGGCGGGGUAAUGGCCCACCAAGCCAGUAACCGGUACGGGCCUUGAGAGAGGUGGCCCGGAGAUGGACACUGAGAGAAGGGUCCAGGUCCUACGGGGCGCAGCAGGCGCGAAACCUUCGCAAUGCGCGAAAGCGUGACGAGGUUAAUCCGAGUGAUUUCCGCUGAGGAGAUCUUUUGUCAGCUGUAAAUAGGCGGGCGAAUAAGGGGAGGGCAAGCCUGGUGUCAGCCGCCGCGGUAAUACCAGCUCCUCGAGUGGUCGGGGCGAUUAUUGGGCCUAAAGCAUCCGUAGCCGGUUCCGUAGGUCCUCUGUUAAAUCCAACCGCUUAACGGUUGACAUGCAGAGGAUACCGCGAGACUAGGAGGCGGGAGAGGCGGACGGUACUCCGCGUGUAGGGGUAAAAUCCUUUGAUCCGCGGAAGA
rnacentral:rRNA from 1 species